ensembl:lncRNA
GUGUGAGGGCCAGGAGCCCAGUGUGAACUCACCGUGUGGUCGGGCGUGAGGGCCAGGAGCCCAGUGUGAACUCACCGUGUGGUCAGGCGUGAGGGCCAGGAGCCGAGUGAGAGUCACGGUGUGGUCGGGCGUGAGGGCCAGGAGCCGAGCGUCUCCAGAAGCCCCCCCAGAAGAAAGCCACCCCUCGGCCCCUGCCCGCCAGGCUCUUCAUGAUCUGGCCUCUCUGCUGCUCCAGCCUCGUCCACCUCAGGGCCCUUGCACUCCCCCAGCCGCUGCCCAGGGUCUCCCUCUCCUCAGGUCUGAGUUUUGGUUUGAGUUCCCUCGAAGCAGUCUAGGUCAGGGCAGCAAGAAAGGAGGAGGCAAGUCCUGGACGCACCCACAGGAGGGCGCCGGGGACAGACGCCCGCAGGCCACGCAGCCUCCUGGGACAGGGCUCCCAAGCAGCCCACUUGGGGCAGAGCUGGGAGCGGAUUUCCUGCCAGCUGUGCCCCCCGUCCAGGCCUCUGGGGAAGUGAGGGCCCAAGUGGCGUGUGGCGCCUCCCCCAGGUCACCUCAGGUGUGA